CCUACGGGGAGCAGCAGUGGGGAAUAUUGCGCAAUGGGCGAAAGCCUGACGCAGCGACGCCGCGUGAGGGAUGAAGGUCUUCGGAUCGUAAACCUCUGUCAGCAGGGAAGAACGGUCACUGUGCUAAUCAGCAGUGAAUUGACGGUACCUGCAAAGGAAGCACCGGCUAACUCCGUGCCAGCAGCCGCGGUAAUACGGAGGGUGCGAGCGUUAAUCGGAAUUACUGGGCGUAAAGCGCUCGUAGGCGGUAUGUCAAGUCAAGGGUGAAAUCCCCGCGCUCAACGUGGGAACUGCCUUUGAAACUGGCAAACUGGAGUGUGUGAGAGGAUAGUGGAAUUCCAGGUGGAGGAGUGAAAGCCGUAGAUAUCUGGAGGAACAUCAGUGGCGAAGGCGACUAUCUGGCACAUAACUGACGCUGAGGAGCGAAAGCGUGGGUAGCAAACAGGAUUAGAUACCCUUGUAGUC
rnacentral:rRNA from 1 species